GACGAGGUGGCCGAGUGGUUAAGGUGAUGGAGUGCUAAUCCAUUGGGGUCUCCCCGCGUGAGUGUGAGUUCGAGUCCCAUCCUCGUCG
rnacentral:tRNA from 1 species